UAAAAUGAAAUAAAGAAAAGAAAAUAUGUCUAUGUCAAUCCUAUUCUGGUUUGCUGUCCUAUUCCUCAGAGGUCACAGGCUGACCACCUGCAGACUUUAUUUGGCCCAUAUAGAUGUUUUGUUUGUCCUCCACAUUCUAGGAGGACCAACCAUUCCAGUUUGGCCUGGACUCUCCUUGUUUUAGCACUGAAAGACCCAUGUCCCAGAAAUAUCUGACACAACUGGACCCUCUUGCAUGGCAACUAUAAGCGGGAACUGAGUCGCAGCUGCCCCAUUAGGGAGCUAAUCCUCAUCUGUAAAUACUGAAAAAGCAACUAACCUGGAGGGAACAAGGUUCUCAACUUUGUGGAAGCUGAGAUGAUGCCCUUUUCAUGGCUCAUCAUUUUAAUAUUGGCACAUGCCUGGCCCAUAAUAAGCAUUCAAGUAGCACUGACUGACUAACUGAAUGAAUGAAUAAAUGAAUUAAUGCUCAAAUGAAUAAAUAAAUGGUGCAAAAGGUGGUGGCCUUUUUUUUUUCAUUAGGGCUAUGAUGGCUGCUGAAGAAGGUGUAGGCUUUGAGGUUGGGAAGAUAUGAGUUCAAACCCUAGUUUUUAAUCCCAGCUCUGCCUUCCCUUGCCAGAUGUCUUUGAACAAGCAGUUCCUCUGAGCUUUGGUAUCCAUGUUGGCCUAACAGAAAUAAUACUAUCUAUGCCUCAUAGGGAAGCUGUGAAGAUUAUAUGAGAAAAUGUUCAAGGCCUCAUACAAAGGAGGUACCCAAUAAAGAGUAGCUAAUUAAAAAGUCGUUCACAAGGGAAGUCGGACACAGUGGUCAUGCCUGUAAUCUCAGCACUCUGUGAGACCAAGGUGAGCAGAUU
rnacentral:lncRNA from 1 species